AGAUUUGAGAAAGAGUGACGACACCGGGGCAGACACCAGUCAGGAACCUGAGGUUCCUAUGGAGGUUCAGGAUGCUGAUCAAAGUGUCACAACAGACAAGGACAGCAACCCCACCAGCAGCACUAAAGAUGAUGUGAAAGCCCACGAUAAGAGCUCACAAGAGCACGACGCAACUCCACCAGACACCAGACCAAAUUCCGAAGAUGACCAAGGUGAGAAGAAUACACGGGAAUGAGACGACAGUCAGCCUCAUGGGAACGAGUGCUGGCAAACUGUGUGAAGGCAAACAUCACACCAAUUUUGUCCCACGCCAGGGAGUCCCCCACAAACACUGGGAAAAGUGUUGACCCCCACUUCAUUCACCGUCUUUACUUCUAUUCAACCUGUAUUUUCCUUUCUGCUCCCUCAUAUUGAUAAUAAAUCAGAUAUAUAGUUAAAUUAAAAGGAUUAAAUGGGAGUUUGAACAUAUCAGAGAGAUUGCAGAGAUUGUGGCGCUGGAGGAGGGCUGCUAUACCUCACUGACAUGCUGCUUGAUCAAUAUACAUAUAUAUUUUUUGUUGAUGUUGUAGUUGUUUUUUUUUUCUCAAUAUGGCAUCCUGGUGUUGGAUAUGAACUUGUUUAAAAUAGGUAGAUUGGUCAAAACACAUCCUAACAUCAUCCAGCCACUUUUAGUUACUCACUGAUUUGUAAUACUUCUGACAAAGUGCAAAGCCAAGGCUUAAUUUUCUGUCCCCAGGGCACUCAUUCAGACCAAAUAUGAUGGAAUUCUACAGCCUUGUCCACCGAUUAAGAUUUCUUUCAACACUAAGAUGGCUGUAU